UAAUAAUAUGAUUUAAUUUAAUUAGUAUUAAUUAAUUAGCAAUAAAAUAAUUUUAAAUUAAAAUUUAUUAGGUGAAAUUUUUAAAUUUUUAAAAAAUUUAUUAUUUUUAAUGAAGUUAGGAAAUUUAAUUGAUAAACUAGGAUUAGAUACCCUAUUAUUUUAAAUGUAUUUUUAUAAACUAAAUUAUUAUUAGUUAUGUUCUUGAAAAUUAAAAAUUUUGGCGGUAUUUUAGUCUAUUCAGAGGAACCUGUUCUGUAAUUGAUAAUCCACGAUUUAAUUUACUUUUUUUUUUAGUUUGUAUAUCGUCGUAAUUUGAAUAUUUUAUAAGAAUAAUAAUAUUCAAGAUAUUUAAUAAGAAAAUAAAUCAGAUCAAGGUGCAGUUAAUAAAAGAGAAGAAAUGGGUUACAAUAAAUUUAUUUAAGGAUUAUUAUUUAUAAAAUAAUAUGAAUUUGGAUUUGAGGGUAAAUUUAAUUAAUUAAUUAAUUUGAUUUUAGCUCUAAAAU
rnacentral:rRNA from 1 species